GCGAAGACGUAGAGGAACCACACCAAUCCAUCCCGAACUUGGUGGUUAAACUCUACUGCGGUGAUGAUACUGUAGUCUGUAGGGGAGGAGACCGGAGCAUCUUAGCGAGAGAAUCCCAUUCCAUUUUCGGAAUCU
rnacentral:rRNA from 1 species